rnacentral:rRNA from 2 species
AACAUAGCCCUAGAAAAUCUCUAAGGUGUAACCUGCCCAAUGGUUUCGAAGUAAAAACACGCAAAGGGUGUUAAACGAAGCUUAAAGGACGCAGUAACCUUGACUGUGAUAAUGUAGCGUAAUCACUCGCCAUUUAAUUGAUGGAUAGUAUGAAUGGUUGAACGAAUAUUCCACUGUCUUAAGAAGAAAUAAACAAAAAUUAAAAUAAUAGUUAAGAUGCUAUUUAAGACUGUAAGACGAAAAGACCCUAUAGAGCUUAACUAUAACCUCUUCAAAACAAAAGAAAAGAAAAUUCCUAAAAGAAGAGGUUGGUAGUUUAGUUGGGGCGACUAUCUUCUAGAAUUAACGAAGACAAGCAAAGUUAAUAAAAAACUUAUUGUAUAAUUAAUUAAUUUAACAAUUACAAAAGUAGGCUAUAAUGACCCGUUGAAGAUCCAUAGAAAUUUCAACGAUCAAUAAAUAAAAGCUACCUUAGGGAUAACAGGAUAAUUCAUGCUAGAGAUCUA